AGAGAGAUGAUGGAAAAUGGCAACCAUCCGCUUGACGCUGGAAUGAGUCGCCAAUUAGCACAUCUCUGUCGAAGUCGAGCCGCCCGGAUCGCUACAAACUCCAAAUCUCGCACGAAAAAAUAGCGAUCAUGGCGAUGGCGACAUCGGAUGUUCCUGUGAUCUAGGCAGAAAAUCUCACCAGCGAUCUUAGGUCAAUCCUCUACUGGUGGUGUUAGUGUACGAAGUGGCAACUGGUUCUACUCGAUUGGCUGAAGGAAUCCUAUAUAGUUUUCGAUUUCCAAUAGCUAAUGGCCAGGUCACUAAAUGUACAUGUACUCCUAUUGGUGAUGUGCUUGCUGGCACUGGUUUGAAGACAUAAUGGAUGUAUGCUUAACUAUUUUAUUCAACUCCAUGGAUGUGUUUCUUGCCCCUGUUUUAGAUCUCUCUAUGUCUUGGGCAUGUAUAUGUUAAAAUGUUCAUCCGAGAAAAAAUGACAUACUUGGAAAUUUACUUAGUUAGAUUUUCAAAUUUUAGUUCAGUUUUUGUAAUUAUUAUUUUUCAUACCAUAUCUCAAUUUUUUAUGUUGCAAAAAAUUGAAAUUAUGUGGUGGUUGUGGUGUAGCCAAUCAAAGGCAUGAAUGUUGGCUGCGGACACAAAGGAGAGAGUCCAUCAGAGGUGCCUCAGGGUCACCCAGCCAUCGAUGGUGAAAGAAAGCUAGAAGAUCAGCCUGCUCCGCCUAUGAAUGCAUCGGCCAUCAUUGGAUAAAUUCACAAAAGUUCCUAUGCUUGAGCCCUGAGUUCUCUCCUGUCACAAUUUUUGCUUAGGACUGGCCGGAGAAUCUGUUGGUGCAUACAUGAUCUCAGGUUUCAUCAAAGCCUCCCAUGUUGCCCCUUCCAUUUCUUCUGGUAACUAUGAGUUAGCAAUGCAAUUAUGUAGUGAAGAGGGGCCAGUAAUUAAAUUAUUUGAUUUGUUCAGCAACUCCAGAACAGGUAUUUUGGUACAUCUCAAUUAUCUAAAAAACUAAAGAGGUUCCGAAGGAAUUUCUUCUCGUUUUCGGCAUAUUUUUUAGCUAUCCACGGAAACAUUUUGGUUGUUUCUUGGAUGAUUUUAAUGUCAAUCUAAGUUAUUUUCAUAGGUUCUGAACCUUAUGUUCAUCUGACCUUCAUAAUAUCUCCAAUUUUUGGUAGUAAGAUGUGAUGUUUGCUUAAUAUUGAUAGUACAAUCCUUUCCUCAAAGUUCAUCUCAAAUCUGAGUGAUAUAUGUUUUGUUUCAUUACAAAAUCUGUUGAGUUUGCUUCAGAAGGUAUUGCAAUGCCUAUUAAUUGUUUCUACAACUCACUUGAGGUAAACCUCCUGCUUCAGUUACAUCAACAUCUAAUUUAAGUUUUACAUGCUCACUUUUUCUUGAAGGCAUUUCCCCCAUUUUAUACAUGUGGCAGUCCAUGUAUAAUUAAUGCUCACUUGUUACAAAUGACCAGGUGCAUCAGGCUCGCCUAAUUCUUCUUGGUUGCCGCGCAUUAUGUUGCAUUUGGAGGUCUGAAGAUUUCAUCAAUGCACCAUGUAUAAAAUCUACUAUGACAAUUGAAGUCAACAACUACAUGUUUGUUUGUGCUGCUGCUUA